AUAUAUAUAUAUAUAUAUAUAUAUAUAUAUAGUGUUUUUCUUACAAUGCCGAAUUUGUGUGGCUCUAUUAGGAACCCAAAAUAUUUAAACUUAUUUUUGGCAGUUGGCGGAGCGCUUGAAGCCUGCUUCACCUCUGCUGCAGGUCGGCCCGGUAUUGCACUAUAUCCAGAAUUGGCCUACGUAUU